GCCGGAGUACAAGAGAAUUAACCCCUCCUGAGAACAGCCCUUAAACGGUGACUGAUGGAUGCUGGUGGAUAAGUACUCCAGGAAUCUCAUCUCUCAGAUCCUUGCUCCAGGGAAAGCUAGCUGCCAUAUUGUGAGGACUCUCAAGCAGCUUUCUGGUGAAGUCCAUGUGGUGAGGAAUGGAAGCCUUCUUCCAACAGCCAGCAAAAUCCUGAGGCCUCUAGCCAACAGCUAUGUGAGUGAGCCACCUUGGAAGCAGACCCUUAAGCCCCAGGAACCAAGGCAGAAAAAUGCCAGGUGGCCAAAUGGCAGAACCAGU
rnacentral:lncRNA from 1 species